AUUGCCCUUACGGCUCAGUAACACGUAGUCAACAUGCCCAGGGGACGUGGAUAACCUCGGGAAACUGAGGAUAAACCGCGAUAGGCCAUGAUUUCUGGAAUGGUUCAUGGCCGAAAUCUAUAUGGCCCCUGGAUUGGACUGCGGCCGAUCAGGCUGUUGGUGAGGUAAUGGCCCACCAAACCUGUAACCUGUACGGGCUCUGAGAGGAGGAGCCCGGAGAUGGGCACUGAGACAAGGGCCCAGGCCCUAUGGGGCGCAGCAGGCGCGAAAUCUCUGCAAUAGGCGAAAGCUUGACAGGGUUACUCUGAGUGAUUCCCGCUAAGGGGAUCUUUUGGCACCUUUAAAAAUGGUGCAGAAUAAGGGGUGGGCAAGUCUGGUGUCAGCCGCCGCGGUAAUACCAGCACCCCGAGUGGUCGGGACGAUUAUUGGGCCUAAAGCAUCCGUAGCCGGUACUGCAAGUCUUCCGUUAAAUCCACCUGCUUAACAGUUGGGCUGCGGGGGAUACUACAGCGCUAGGAGGCGGGAGAGGCAAGCGGUACUCAAUGGGUAGGGGUAAAAUCCGCUGAUCCAUUGAAGACCACCAGUGGCGAAGGCGGCUUGCCAGAACGCGCUCGACGGUGAGGGAUGAAAGCUGGGGGAGCAAACCGGAUUAGAUACCCGGGUAGUCCCAGCUGUAAACGAUGCAGACUCGGUGAUGGGCUGGCCUUGUGCCAACCCAGUGCCGCAGGGAAGCCGUUAAGUCUGCCGCCUGGGGAGUACGGUCGCAAGACUGAAACUUAAAGGAAUUAGCGGGGGAGCAC
rnacentral:rRNA from 1 species